CUGUGGAACAAUCUUCAUUCAAGGAGAAGAGCUCUAAGGUAUCUAGAUAUAGGCUAACAUUCAGCUAUAUAACUAUAUAGCUAUAUAUAUAUAUCUGGGAAACUGAUAGCUACUACGAAUUGUUUACCUUCCGCUUUCCUCGCCAUGAAAUAAAAUAUACCACGCCGUUUUCACACGAACAACGAAACUUCUCGUCCAAAUUCUGAAGAGUGUUACAAGUUCUAUAUGACUCAGUAUUAACUCAGUUCUCGCAAAUAUUUCUAAUCUAUACAAGUGAUGCCGAUCACAUGGCCUUGUGAUUUCCGGCGUCAUUCAAAUAAGUUCCGCAUUGAAGAAUCUCGCAAACGCAGCAUGUCAAUAAUCUUAUUUAUAGCUGCAGACAUGAUAUGUUCCGGUGUCAUCCGAGGUCAUGCUGGCGACAAAAUGAUUUUGCAUGUAAAAAUCGGACAAAAGCGAUUAAGAGCAACUUUUAGCACCCAUGAUAUGUUUUUAUAUUACAAUUUUACAAAAAAAUUCAGGUUUUGGGUUUUAGUGAAGUUUUGCUUAUUUUUUCCAUAGGCUAGCGAACAAUGUCCGGUUGUGAAUUAUGCUUUAUCAGUGAUAAUUUUUUCCUACUGAAGCAUAUUGAACGCGAUUUAAUAUAAAAGGAUUAUAUUUUUGCCUUUGAGAUUAUGCUGAGAAUUUUGAAUAUGUCAGCGUUAUAAGUGAAGGAGCGUAUUAAUAUAUAUAUACAGUACAUGUAUAAGUUCUCCAUGUUUAAUUAAAAUAACAUGCAUCAUCAUCAUCAUCAUCAUCAUCAUCAUCAUAGUCAUAGAUUUUCUACAUUUUAUAAUUCUUUAUGGAACACAGAGACACUGUAAGGCAAUCAUCUCACUUUAAUUAAAUGCAUUCUGUAACUGCAAAUUUCAUCACCAUUUGCAAGGCGAAACCAAGAUAACUAAAUACUUUAAGAACUUUCCUUCGUCCCACUGAAAAUUCCUCUUCCCCCAGCCAAGUGGCACACUGACCGAAAUAAUGAAUUAUAUUUAAUUUUCGGACUGCUUUUCAGUCUUAAUAAGCACGCUCUUCAGUCUUUGCCAAAUUGAAACUUAACCCAUGAUCUAUAUACACUGACCGUGCGGAUUAUAACGGUCUUUAAUCGGCUAUUUGGCGAACAAAAACAAUAUUAAUUAAAAUGGCCGAUUAAUCUUAUUCUGCACGGACAUUUUGACCAAGCAAAUAAAAUAGGCAGUUUUCAAUUAAAUUAAAGGUAUGUUCGACGGGGUAUGUUAUUCGAUUAGCACUGUUCAAUUCAGGGCAUUUUUUAACUAUAUAUCACUACUGGGCCAUUUACCACAGUAGGCCCUUUGCUUGCCCCAGUAGUGAGCAAUAUUUUCAGAUUAACUGGGCCCUUUCGAUCAUUACUCAUUAGUAAAAAGUCAUGCCAUGUCGAAGGAGCUGCAUCUGCCUGCUCUCUCAUGUCUUUAUGUACGCGUAAUUGUGUGGGGGGAAGGCUCUCAUUGAGUCUUAACCCCAGUAGUUGUAAUUUCUUAAAAAAUGCCCUGUUGUUCAUAAAGCAUAAAAGCGAGAAUGGAGGACAAAAUAUUUUCUUGGCUUCGCUGUAACAAGCAACAAAAUCACAUCACAAGUUUAUGGUACCAGAGGCUAGGCAAGGGGGAGUAGUCAGUAGUGUAGCACUUGUCGACAACAUUUCAAUCGCUAAUUAAUAAUUCUUUUCCCAGAAUUGUUGGCGAGGGAGAAGAAGCGUAAAAAAUUUUCCGGACAUACCAUUUUUCACCACCUUUAGAAUUAAUGUACCGUAAUUUGUGAAAUUUUUCGGUCGUUUUCGUAAAUUUAUCAAAAUUUUUUCUUUAACUAUUACUUUUUAAUUCCAGCCACUCAAAUAUUUUCGCUG